AGUGCUUGUUGAGUUGGACAAUUAUGCAGUGUUUCUGCCGAGAAGAAUAAGUGAUUAUUUGACUGAGGAGAAAAUUGAUGAGUUAUUACGAGAUCCACGUCCACUAUAUUUAAUAUAUUUGGGAAAAGAAGAUGCUAGAAACCCGACAUCUGCACAUUGUUUUGAGUUUCAACGUGUUGAUGAUGAAAUAUUAGUUAACGAGGGUGCCGAAGAGUAGGAUAAAAUUAUCGGAAAAAGACUUUUGUGUGUGAAGUAGUGUGCGUUUUGUGCUAGUGAUAGUUUCUUAAAAUAAAUGAAUAAAAAUCAUGUGUCUAGACGAUGGACAAUAUGAAAAAAGUUUAUACGAGUGUUUUGAUAAAAGACUGUUAUCAUAUAAGAACUGGGUACAUUCAUACCUAUCUCCAUGGAGUUUAGCAAAAGCGGGAUUGUUUUAUAUUCAAAUAUCUGAUUGUACCCAGUGUUUUGUUUGUGGAGUAAUAAUUUCACGAUGGGAAAAAAGUGAUGAUGCGUUUAUGGAGCAUAAAAAACAUUCUCCAAAAUGUGGAUAUGUGAAAUUGCUUUCUGCAGACAAAACUACAAUUCAAAAAUUCAAAUUAGUUACUAAAAAUAGCAUUGUUGUAGUUUUAUUUUUUAUAGUAUUUGUAUUCAUGUAUUAUUUAUGUGCGUCUUCUUAUGCAUAGGUAAUGUGAUGCAGACUUGUUAACCUUGAUCAGUGUCGGGCGCGCGCCAAAGGCGAGGUAAACUAAAGGUUUCAAGAGGCGUCUUGAUUUAAUUAGUUUAUAAUUAAAUAAGUGGUAGAAUAAUAUGGAGGAUUUAUAAUAGAUUUAAGGAUAUUUAAUGUACUACCUAUAAUAUUGAUGAAAUAAAGUGUUUUAAUCGA